GUAGGGUGCAAGCGUUAAUCGGAAUUACUGGGCGUAAAGCGUGCGCAGGCGGUUUUGUAAGACAGGCGUGAAAUCCCCGGGCUCAACCUGGGAAUUGCGCUUGUGACUGCAAGGCUUGAGUGCGGCAGAGGGGGAUGGAAUUCCGCGUGUAGCAGUGAAAUGCGUAGAUAUGCGGAGGAACACCGAUGGCGAAGGCAAUCCCCUGGGCCUGCACUGACGCUCAUGCACGAAAGCGUGGGGAGCAAAC
rnacentral:rRNA from 1 species